GAGGGUGGUGGAGGAAGGGGGCAGCUCCCAUGACCGCCUGACUGUCUUCUUUCCUCCCCCAG
ensembl:miRNA